CUACGGGAGGCAGCAGUGGGGAAUAUUGGGCAAUGGAGGCAACUCUGACCCAGCCAUGCCGCGUGGGUGACGAAGGUCUUCGGAUUGUAAAGCCCUUUCGGCGGAGACGAUGAUGACGGUAUCCGCAGAAGAAGCCCCGGCUAACUUCGUGCCAGCAGCCGCGGUAAUACGAAGGGGGCUAGCGUUGUUCGGAAUUACUGGGCGUAAAGGGCGUGUAGGCGGCCCGUUAAGUCAGGUGUGAAAGGCCUGGGCUCAACCCAGGAAAUGCGCCUGAGACUGGCGGGCUUGAAUCCGGGAGAGGAUGGUGGAACUCCCAGUGUAGAGGUGAGAUUCGUAGAUAUUGGGAAGAACACCCGUGGCGAAGGCGGCCAUCUGGACCGGUAUUGACGCUAAGGCGCGACAGCGUGGGGAGCAAACAGGAUUAGAAACCCCAGUAGUCC
rnacentral:rRNA from 1 species